rnacentral:rRNA from 1 species
AUUGAACGCUGGCGGCAGGCCUAACCCAUGCAAGUCGAACGAGUGGCGGACGGGUGAGUAAUGUCGGGGACACUGCCUGAUGGAGGGGGAUAACUACUGGAAACGGUAGCUAAUACCGAAUACCAUGAGAUGUGCCCAGAUGGGAAUAGCUUGUUGGGGGGGGAACGGCUCACCAAGGCGACGAUCCCUAGCUGGUCUGAGAGGAUGAACAGCCACACUGGAACUGAGACACGGUCCAGAAUCCUACGGGAGGCAGCAGUGGGGAAUAUUGCACAAUGGGCGCAAGCCUGAUGCAGCCAUGCCGCGUGAAUGAAGAAGGCCUUCGGGUUGUAAAGUACUUUCAGCUGGGAGGCGUUACCCGAAGAAGAAGCACCGGCUAACUCCGUGCCAGCAGCCGCGGUAAGAC